CCCUCCCUCUGGCGGCAUGCCUAACACAUGCAAGUCGAACGAGACCUUCGGGUCUAGUGGCGCACGGGUGCGUAACGCGUGGGAACCUGCCCUUAGGUUCGGAAUAACUCCCCGAAAGGGGUGCUAAUACCGGUUAAUGUCUUCGGACCAAAGAUCUAUCGCCUUUGGAUGGGCCCGCGUUGGAUUAGCUAGUUGGUAGGGUAAAAGCCUACCAAGGCGACGAUCCAUAGCUGGUCUGAGAGGAUGAUCAGCCACACUGGGACUGAGACACGGCCCAGACUCCUACGGGAGGGAGCAGUGGGGAAUAUUGGACGAUGGGCGAAAGCCUGAUACAGCAAUGCCGCGGGAGUGAUGAAGGCCUUAGGGUUGUAAAGCUCUUUUACCCGGGAUGAUAAUGACGGUACCGGGAGAAUAAGCUCCGGCUAACUCCGUG
rnacentral:rRNA from 1 species